UCCCUGGUGGUCCAGUGGUUAGGAUGCUGCACUUCCACUGCAGGGGGGCACAGGUUCGAUCCCUGGCCAGGGAA